GGUCCUGUAGUGUAGUGGUUUAUCACUUGGGAUUUUGAUGACUAUGUUCCCAAAACCCAGGUUCGAACCCUGGCCGGACCU
rfam:Daedalea quercina L-15889 unplaced genomic scaffold DAEQTscaffold_25, whole genome shotgun sequence.